rnacentral:rRNA from 1 species
UACGUAGGGGGCAAGCGUUGUCCGGAAUCAUUGGGCGUAAAGAGCGUGUAGGCGGUUCGGUAAGUCGGCUGUGAAAGUCCAGGGCUCAACCCUGGGAUGCCGGUCGAUACUGCCGGACUAGAGUUCGGAAGAGGCGAGUGGAAUUCCCGGUGUAGCGGUGAAAUGCGCAGAUAUCGGGAGGAACACCUAUGGCGAAGGCAGCUCGCUGGGACGUUACUGACGCUGAGGCGCGAAAGCGUGGGGAGCAAACAGG